rnacentral:rRNA from 1 species
UUUUAUGGAGAGUUUGAUCCUGGUUCAGGAUGAACGCUGGCGGCGUGCCUAAUACAUGCAAGUCGAGCGAACAGAUAAGGAGCUUGCUCCUUUGACGUUAGCGGCGGACGGGUGAGUAACACGUGGGUAACCUACCUAUAAGACUGGAAUA